AAUCUAGUGCUCCAUUCGUUACUAGGUUUCCCUACGCCUUAUCCCUGUAAUAUUUCCCAAAUCAGUCACAAAUAAUAUAUCCACACGAAAACAACUCGGAAGUUCAGUACACAAAAGUAAAAGUUUCCCUACGCCUUAUCCCUGUAAUAUUUCCAAAUCAGUCACAAAUAAUAUAUCCACACGAAAACAACUCGGAAGUUCAGUAAACAGAAGUAAAAUUUUCCCUACGCCUUAUUCCUGUAAUAUUUCCAAAUCAGUCACAAAUAAUAUAUCCACACGAAAACAACUCGGAAGUUCAGUAAACAGAAGUAAAAGUUUCCCUACGCCUUAUCCCUGUAAUAUUUCCAAAUCAGUCACAAAUAAUAUAUCCACACGAAAACAACUCGGAAGUUCAGUAAACAGAAGUAAAAGUUUCCCUACGCCUUAUCCCUGUAAUAUUUCCAAAUCAGUCACAAAUAAUAUAUCCACACGAAAACAACUCAAAAGUUCAAUGAACAAAAGUUACAGUUUCCCUACGCCUUAUCCCUGUAAUAUUUCCCAAAUCAGUCACAAAUAAUAUAUCCACACGAAAACAACUCGGAAGUUCAGUACACAAAAGUAAAAGUUUCCCUACGCCUUAUUCCUGUAAUAUUUCCAAAUCAGUCACAAAUAAUAUAUCCACACGAAAACAACUCGGAAGUUCAGUAAACAGAAGUAAAAGUUUCCCUACGCCUUAUCCCUGUAAUAUUUCCCAAAUCAGUCACAAAUAAUAUAUCCACACGAAAACAACUCGGAAGUUCAGUACACAAAAGUUUCCCUACGCCUUAUCCCUGUAAUAUUUCCCAAAUCAGUCACAAAUAAUAUAUCCACACGAAAACAACUCGGAAGUUCAGUACACAAAAGUAAAAGUUUCCCUACGCCUUAUUCCUGUAAUAUUUCCAAAUCAGUCACAAAUAAUAUAUCCACACGAAAACAACUCGGAAGUUCAGUACACAAAAGUAAAAGUUAGUGAAUUAAAAAAUGAAAUCAAGAAUUAAAUUUUAGUAAUCUAGUGCUCCAUUCGUUACUAGUUUUCCCUACGCCUUAUCCCUGUAAUAUUUCCCAAAUCAGUCACAAAUAAUAUAUCCACACGAAAACAACUCGGAAGUUCAGUACACAAAAGUAAAAGUUUCCCUACGCCUUAUCCCUGUAAUAUUUCCAAAUCAGUCACAAAUAAUAUAUCCACACGAAAACAACUCGGAAGUUCAGUACACAAAAGUAAAAGUUUCCCUACGCCUUAUUCCUGUAAUAUUUCCAAAUCAGUCACAAAUAAUAUAUCCACACGAAAACAACUCGGAAGUUCAGUACACAAAAGUAAAAGUUUCCCUACGCCUUAUCCCUGUAAUAUUUCCAAAUCAGUCACAAAUAAUAUAUCCACACGAAAACAACUCGGAAGUUCAGUACACAAAAGUAAAAGUUUCCCUACGCCUUAUCCCUGUAAUAUUUCCCAAAUCAGUCACAAAUAAUAUAUCCACACGAAAACAACUCGGAAGUUCAGUACACAAAAGUAAAAGUUUCCCUACGCCUUAUCCCUGUAAUAUUUCCAAAUCAGUGACAAAUAAUAUAUCCACACGAAAACAACUCGGAAGUUCAGUACACAAAAGUAAAAGUUUCCCUACGCCUUAUCCCUGUAAUAUUUCCCAAAUCAGUCACAAAUAAUAUAUCCACACGAAAACAACUCGGAAGUUCAGUACACAAAAGUAAAAGAGAGUGAA